rnacentral:pre_miRNA from 1 species
AUUGGUACUCUAACAGCGGCACUGAACUUUCCAUAGUAAAUAGUAAGUGUUAUUUGUUGGGGUAGUUUAA